GGGGGGGGCGGGGGGGGGGGGGAACGCAGGCAGGGCGAGCGGAAGGGCCCUGCGGGUGUGGGGGGCUCGAGUGGCGAACGGGUGGGUAACACGUGAGUAACCUGCCCUUGACUUUGGGAUAACUUCAGGAAACUGGGGCUAAUACCGGAUAGGAGCUCCUGCUGCAUGGUGGGGGUUGGAAAGUUUCGGCGGUUGGGGAUGGACUCGCGGCUUAUCAGCUUGUUGGUGGGGUAGUGGCUUACCAAGGCUUUGACGGGUAGCCGGCCUGAGAGGGUGACCGGCCACAUUGGGACUGAGAUACGGCCCAGACUCCUACGGGAGGCAGCAGUGGGGAAUAUUGCACAAUGGGCGGAAGCCUGAUGCAGCAACGCCGCGUGCGGGAUGACGGCCUUCGGGUUGUAAACCGCUUUCGCCUGUGACGAAGCGUGAGUGACGGUAAUGGGUAAAGAAGCACCGGCUAACUACGUG
rnacentral:rRNA from 1 species